UUCAAUCAUACCACACUACUUCUUGUUAUGAGAAGACCUUCCUGAAAAUUUCCAAAUGGAUUUGAGACCUCUGACAUUUCCACAUAAUGAUUUUUUUCCCAUUGGAACAUGGGUCAUGACCACACUUCUUCAGGAAAGUGGGCUGGGGUCACUGUGCCCUUUUCUGAGAGAGAGGAGGCUACAUGUCUAUAGUGAGGGUAUGUGAGUAAUGUCUGUAAAUCUCCUGAAAUUGCAUUUCUCAUUGAUGUCAAAGUUUUGGCUUGGGGAAAGAAUAAAAAGGAUCAAUCCUUCCUUACAUGGGGGCUCCCCACAGAGACAUGGAUUUAAAACUUUGGAAAAACUUCUGUCAUCUGGUCCCCAAUUGCCAGCUAAGAGACCUCAGUCCUUGGGGCUCAAGAUGGUUGGAUGAAGAUUCCCACCUUUAGGCAAAGAACCUGAAGCAAUCUAGCUAUUAUUUAUCAUUGCACCACAUAGGGAAGGAAAGGAAUGUGAAGCGCUCUGUCUGUUGGUAAUCUGCUAUUUCCAUCUCAUUGCAAUAAAAAUCAAUUUAAGUAUGGUACCACCCCAAACAAGAGGUCUCCUUGAGCACCCAAGAUAUUAACAGGGAAGACUUGAGGUUCCCAUGCUGUGUGAGCCAGGAUUUUAAAACUGCUGGCUCCCCUUCACCUUCUUCCAGGAGUAGCCUGAGCCCCUUACCAGAAGCAGAUGCUGGUGCCAUGCUUCCAGUACAGCCUGCAGAAUUGUGAG